rnacentral:lncRNA from 1 species
GGGGGGUUGUGAAAGGUUUUGUGAAUGCGGAUUAAUUAAAUUAAAACACGAAUGCAAACAAAAAUGAUAAGAACAGAAAUGUAAACAUAAAUGUAAAAAUAGAAUCAAAUACAGAAUAAAAACGGUUGGUCAUUAACUCAAUUACUAUGCUUCAAAUCACAUAUUAAUGACAAUUAAAGUGCAAGAGUCUCAUGAAUAAAC